GGUUAAUAAUGUUUUGUCAGUCCAUCCAUGGCUAGAGGAAAAUUCCUUCUUUAUGUAUUUUGUCCAUAACCCUGAUAAACCAACAGGGGCUUUCACACAGCACCUUAAAAGCCUGUCUUAUCCUUGGGGUUUCUGCAGCCAAUGAAAGUUUGUCAUGAUGAUGUAAUGCUCCUGAGUUGUGUUUCAGCACCGAGUGUGUGGUCACCGGGUAUCAUGCCUGAGAGCUAGGACUUCCUGGGUCCCAGAGAGUUCAAUAGCAAAGUCUUCAGCCCUUCAUGUAAGACCAUGUUCUUCACCAUACUUGGAAACUGUCUUAUGGAGGGGAAGAUCUAAGGAAUCCAAAUGCCUUCCUCCACACCACACUGGAUGAAUGACACUACAAAAGCACCCUCUUGAUUGGCGACAGAGAUAGAUCAACACAAGAGACCUCGACCAAUGUCUCUUUAUCUCUAAAUAGGUUCUUUCUGUUCUACCACUGACCUCUUCAGGUUCAAUUCUUAAAUAGAACCAAAUGCUCCAUUGGGGUGGGGGGUGGGGGGAUCCCUAUUCCAGACCUAAUUCACACUAACCAAAUCACAACACAUUCAUAAGAGGAAAUGCCAAUUACACUUAAAAAUUAACUUCCAGAUUAUAGUGCUCACUUCAACAAUUGGAAAGCUACCUUCUAAAUAGAAAUGUCUAUGUGAGAAAUAAAAUUAAAAGAACAAACUAUUUGU
rnacentral:lncRNA from 1 species